CCAGUGUUGGGAAAGUUCAUUUUCUACAUGAACUAGUUCAAAGUUCAGUUCACACAUUUUAAAAUGAACUAGUUCAGUUCAUAGUUUGCACAGAAAUGUAAGAUUUUUCCCAUCCUCACCGACCUCAUCAUAAAA